AUUGAACGCUGGCGGCAUGCCUUACACAUGCAAGUCGAACGGCAGCACGGGAGCAAUCCUGGUGGCGAGUGGCGAACGGGUGAGUAAUAUAUCGGAACGUGCCCGGUCGUGGGGAUAACGUAGCGAAAGCUACGCUAAUACCGCAUACGAUCUACGGAUGAAAGCGGGGGAUCGCAAGACCUCGCGCGAUUGGAGCGGCCGAUAUCAGAUUAGGUAGUUGGUGAGGUAAAGGCUCACCAAGCCGACGAUCUGUAGCUGGUCUGAGAGGACGACCAGCCACACUGGACUGAGACACGGCCCAGACUCCUACGGGAGGCAGCAGUGGGGAAUUUGGACAAUGGGCGCAAGCCUGAUCCAGCAAUGCCGCGUGCAGGAUGAAGGCCUUCGGUUGUAAACU
rnacentral:rRNA from 1 species